ACAUACACAUCCGCCCGGGUACUACGAGCACAGCUUAAAACCCAAAGGACUUGGCGGUGUCUCAGACCCACCUAGAGGAGCCUGUUCUAGAACCGAUAACCCCCGUUAAACCUCAUCACUUCUUGUUUUUUCCGCCUAUAUACCGCCGUCGUCAGCUUACCCUGUGAAGGCUUAAUAGUAAGCAAAAUGGGCCCGCCCAAAAACGUCAGGUCGAGGUGUAGCGUACGAAGUGGAAAGAAAUGGGCUACAUUUUCUAUAUUAUAGAAUACUACGAACGACACCUUGAAAUCAGGUGUCAGAAGGUGGAUUUAGUAGUAAAAAGCAAAUAGAGCGUACCUUUGAAUUAGGCUCUGAGACGCGCACACACCGCCCGUCACUCUCCCCUCAUACCCCUCCUUCAACUAAUUCAUAAUAAAUCAACCAUAAAUACGGGGAGGCAAGUCGUAACAUGGUAAGUGUACCGGAAGGUGCACUUGGAAUAAU
rnacentral:rRNA from 1 species